GAGCGCGUUAUACAUGAGGGUCGGGACUGCAACACUUCAGAAGCGCCGACGUGGGGCGUCGCAGUUCAUACCCUAUGUAAUUUGCUUCUUUUAAAAAUACAUAUUUCAUUGUUUUUCACUAAAAAAAAAAAAUCAUGUACGUCUGCUUCUGCAAUAAGAACCGAUGUCUGAAAAAUCUGUCGGUAUAUAAACUUCCUGCUCUUACGUUUCACACCCUCGGGACGUGGGUAACACGACUAAAGGUCUGGCAUCACAGACCGGUGUUACUUUAAUACAUGUAUGUCUAACAUAAAUAGCUAAAAAUAUCAUACCAGUAUUUGGAAUGGAAACAGAUUGCCAUAUGUUGGUAUUGUUUCUUUAUGUUUACAUAGUGGCUACAGCAGGUCAGACGUGUCCAGAGCCCUUUGUGGGUCUAUAUGAGGGUUGCUACUAUUUUCACACCGAGCUGACCACGUACAAUAAAUCAGUAGGUGUCUGUCGUGAGAUGGGGGCCACCCUAGCGCAGAUAGACUCAGCUGAGGAGGAACAGGCACUCACCAAAUACAUGGAAGAUCAAGGGAUGACUCAGAAAAAACAG